AUGUUGAACGGCAUGAGGUCAGAUGAAUGGGAGUCGAUGAGAGACAGUCAUAUUUGGAAUCUAUCUACUUCUAUGGGCCAUGAAGUGCUUGCGUCCUUACAGCUAAGCUACAGCCACAUGUCUGCUUGGUUGAAGUUGUGCUUUUCCUAUUGUGCAAUCUUUCCAAAAGGUCACAAAAUAGCCAAGUAUGAUCUAAUUCACCAAUGGAUUGCUCUUGGAUUCGUCGAGCAAUCUAGGAUAUUUGAUUCUAUGCAGCUCUGCGAGAAUUAUGUCACUCAACUUUUGGGGAUGUCCUUCCUUCAAUAUUCAGAGGCACCUUGGGGUUAUAGACAAGAAGACAAAUAUAUUACAUUCUUCACGAUGCAUGACCUAGUGCAUGAUCUCGCAAGAGAGAUUUUGGCCCAUCAACUUAACAUGGAGGGAAACAAAUGCUGCUAUGCAUUGCUCACAGAUUGUACCAAGUCAUUGCAGCUGUCUUUUCCUGCAAAUAUAUAUUCGCUGCACUUUAGGGGCUGUUACGGACAAGAACUUUGUGAUGGUGCAUUUUCGUCAGCUAAGUGCCUCCGUGUUUUGGAUUUAAGUGAAUGCUUAAUUAAGAAGUUACCUGACUGUAUUGGUCAAUUGAAGCAGUUGAGAUUUCUUCAUGCUCCACAAAUCCGAUAUGAAAUGGUUCCCAAUUGUAUUACUGAGCUCUCACAGUUAAAUUACCUGAACCUUAGAGACUCUGGUAAAAUCUCAGCACUGCCGGAGUCAAUUGGUGAUAUGAAAGCUAUGAUGCAUCUUGAUUUAUCAGGCUGUGUUGAAAUACGUGAACUCCCAAUAUCAUUUGCAGAGCUCAAGCAGCUGGUUCAUCUGAAUUUAUCACACUGUAGUAUGUCUGAAGCAGAAGCUUUGGGUGGCUGUACCAAACUUCAGUAUCUGAAUUUAUCAGGUAACGAGGAACAUAUCAGAAGGUUGUCAAAGGUCAUUAGCAAUCUAAUUAAGCUCAGGUAUUUAAAUCUAUCGGGGUGCAUGAACGCCAUGGUGCCGGCAUCAGAAAACGACAUUGUCAGAUUGCUUGACACUAUAUGUACUCUUUCUAAUCUAGAACAGCUGGACCUGUCUAAGAAUCAAGUGUCUUUUUGUAUACCAGAAAUUAUUGGCAACCUCGCGAAGCUUCAUACAUUGGACCUGUUAGGCUGCUACAGAUUGAAGCUUCCUGCUGACUUUGUGGUGCGUAUUUCAAGAUGUAACUCUGGAAGGAUUUUCUGCUUGCAUAUGUGUACAAAUCCUUAUGCGCUGACGAUAUAUAGACUUGAAAAUGUGAAGUCUGCAGAAGAGGCACACAGUAUAAAACUGAUAAUGAAACAAAAGACUAAAGAGCUAAGAUUUGAAUGGACUGUAGCAGCUUCAAGGUUUGUGGAAGACAAGGAGGUGUUGGAAAAACUAGUGCCACCAAGCAGUGUAAGGGUAUUGCAUAUAACUGGUUACAGUAGUGUCAGCGUUCCUGAUUGGCUUAUGGGUAUCAGGCAGUAUCUCCCUAAUCUUUCUGAGUUAUAUUUCUGUGAUUUUCCUAAUUGCAAUGACCUACCAUCACUUGGUCAACUACCAUACCUACGAGAGCUAGGUCUGUGCCGCAUGGAGAGCUUGGAAGAGUGGCACACGGCAUAUACCAGUGGCGAGCCUAAGCUUGGGGCAUUGACCAUAGAUCAAUGUGCCAAGUUGACGAUAAAACCAUGUGCACCAAGAGCUACGGUUUUGCGGAUAAUAGAUUCUGAUAAUGUGCUAUCACACAGUGGUGCUUCCUCUUCUCCAAUAACAAAACUGACUGUCAAAAACAGCAAGGUGCCCUUGCAUCAGUGGAGGUUGCUUCACCGACUCCCUGUACUCCGAGUUUAA
rnacentral:rRNA from 1 species